rnacentral:lncRNA from 1 species
CUAUUUCCCACCUGUAGUUGUUGGAUCUGCAGAUUCAGGACCCAUGUGUGGGCAGGGCUCAAUGUAUUUCCCCUUUUAUCUUUCCUCCAGGAUUUCCCAGCUCCCCACCAAAGAACCUCCUUUUAGACAGAUGCUUUGCCCCACAACCUCCCCUCUACUCCGAACCAAGGAGCCCUCCAUUCUUCCAUGCCCCAGCUGUAUCCUGUGCUCUUGAACGUCACUUAAACUUUCCUGGUUCCCUUUGCCCAGUACCUUGUCUGUGAAACUUGUUCUGAUGAGAGAAGGGUCCUGACUCUGCCCUGUCCAUGCUCCUUGGUUAGCAGAGCGAGGACCAUAACCCACCCUCCAUCCUCCAGAGCACACUCAUAGAUGCCCCUUUGCAGGCCAUCUACAAGAUGGUGUCCUCCAUGAUGAAGAUGCCUGAGGACGAGACCAUGCCCAAGAAGCAAACAGACAAGAUCUUCAGACAGAUGGACACAAACAAAGAUGGCAAAAUGUCCCUGGAUGAAUUCAACAAAGGUGCCAAGAGGGACCCAUCCAUUGUCCGGUUGCUGCAGUGUGAUCCCAGCAGUGCUAGCCAGUUCUGAGGGGAAUAGGCUUUUACACAGUUGUGAGAAACACAGGUUUGACUUGCCAUCUUCAGCUUUGCUUGAUACAGUGGUUUUCUCCGUGAUUUCUCCUGCUCUCUCGGGACCUGGGUCCAGG